CAAACAAAAAAGCUUUGCCUGGAAAAUAUAGCAAAGCUGUAUUUAAUGGUUCGACUGAGCUUCUCAUAUGCGAAAGACUAUAUCAGCAAUUUUAAGAUGCAGCAAAAAGCAGUAAAGAACAAAAGUCUACGAAAAGAACUUAAAAGGAAAAAUGAGAACAACAAUUAGUAACUUAUUUCAAAAUGUACCAUUGUAGUAUAGUUUCUGAUCUCAGUACCACCAAUGCCGUUACCUCUUGCUAACCUGGAGUAUGUAUGUAUUUUGUAUUAUUUGGUUUAAAAUUAGUCAGAACAUUUUCGAUUGGUACCUUUUAGUAG